AUUGAACGCUGGCGGCGUGCUUAACACAUGCAAGUCGAUCGGUAACGCGGGGGCAACCCUGGCGACGAGAGGCGGACGGGUGAGGAACGCUUGGGAAUCUGCCUAUCAGCGGGGGACAACACGGGGAAACUCGUGCUAAUACCGCGUACGCUCUACGGAGGAAAGCCGGGGACCGCAAGGCCUGGCACUGAUAGAUGAGCCCAAGCCGGAUUAGCUAGUUGGCGGGGUAACGGCCCACCAAGGCGACGAUCCGUAGCUGGUCUGAGAGGACGAUCAGCCACACUGGGACCGAGACACGGCCCAGACUCCUACGGGAGGCAGCAGUGGGGAAUAUUGGACAAUGGGGGAAACCCUGAUCCAGCGACGCCGCGUGGGUGAAGAAGGCCUGCGGGUUGUAAAGCCCUUUCGGUAGGGACGAAAGCUCUCGACCUAACACGUCGGGAGGUUGACUUAACCUACAAAAGAAGCACCGGCUAACUCUGUGCCAGCCGCCGCAGUAAAAC
rnacentral:rRNA from 1 species